rnacentral:tRNA from 1 species
GGGGGUGUGGCUCAGUUGUAGAGUGCUUGUCUUGCAUACGUGAAGCCCUGGGUUCAGGCUCCAGCACUUAUA